rnacentral:piRNA from 1 species
UCCCCCUACACAUGAGGUGGCCUCCCAGU